ensembl:lncRNA
CCCCGCCAUGUUUUACUGAAAUACCACGUUGGAUCGGGUUGAUCUGUAGGCAGAAAAGAACUCAUUGUCUCAAACAUUUCCUGAGUGCCUCUAGCAAAGUAAGAGGCAAACAGCGAUACAGCCUAUCGAGGGCUCCUAAGGAGAGGACAGAGAGAGAUCUGGGGGUUUGCAAAGGAAAGGGGAUUGCUUCUAGCUUGGGGUCUUAGGAAAGGGUUCCCAGGGAAGGUGGCUUUGCUCUGGGUCUCGAGGAGAAGGGCACAUCGGUGACAGAGGUUCUGGUCAGGACAGGGCCGGGUAGACUGGAGGCAGUGGCAUCCCUGUAUGAGCAUGUUCAACGUGCAACAUCACUGAGGGACAGAUUGGGGUCUGUCCCUACUGAUAGUAAUAACACGUAACAUUCCUUGAGUUCUUAUUUGCCAGAUUUCUCUUACUUGAUUUACAGAUACUCCUUCGUUGGAUGCCCCCAGCACUCUGCAGACAGAUCCUGAAUUUGUUCCCCUUUCGCAUGAGAGUUCACGUGUGUAAGUGGCAGAGCUGGGAUUCCGACUUUUGCCAAGUCACCUGAUGCUCAUUACCGCGACAUCGUGGCUCCCAACGCACAGGGCCCUGCCCUGGGGAGAGGCUGGGACAAAAGUGACCCUUGCCCUUCCGAAGCUCACACUCCAGUGUGUGUUGAGAAGAAUGUAGAUUUCACUCUUCUUUCUCGUGCCAUUGUUUUUAUGAAUACCAGUUAGGUGAGAAUACCAGUUCUAUGAAUACCAGUUACCUGGAGUGGUGUGUGGUUUUUGAGUUUGUGCCAGGACGUUUGUGGUUAUAUCUCUGGGACGUCAGCGGGUCUGAUCAUAUUGGUUUUCACGUUUUGUCUGGGAGUGCUAACACAAGAUUCUCUUUCUUCCCCUCAGGGGCGUGAACAAAGACACAGGAAGCGGUCCAAGCUGCUGAAAGUCCUUUUGGGACUGGGAGAGGAAAAGUUUGCUGACGUUAGAGUCAUCACCAAGCACACGGAGCAGAAAAGUGAAGAGAGAAGCCGGAUCCUGGUGACCUCACUGGGCUCCUGGAUCAUGCCUCACCUGAAGCAGAUCCAGCCCUGGAUUUUACAGUCACAAAAAGACCAGCUUCUUCAUGGUAAAACCCCUCUCAUGGUCUAGGAGGGCUGGGGCCACCGCUGUCAUUCAUACUUUAUUCUCCCAGCACCAAGCGUAAUAGUCCGCAAAACGUAGACAUCUAAUACAUAUUGUUUGAAUGAAUGAAUGAAUGAAUGAAUGAGUGGCGAGAUGAAUUUCGGGAGCCCACGCGGCCCUAAAGUUCUUUGAAACCUGCCUUAUGCUCUUAGCCUAAUGAGGGCUCCCAGAAGAUUUCUUGGGUGAAGGGCAAACCCCUUUCUCUUCCUCUGAACUAGUGUUUGCUCUACUAGCUGUCCCCCACUAAUGAGGGGACACAACCCAAGGGGACUGUGUCUCCAGGCUAAUUAUUUUGUGGUUGCUCUGACCACACCAUUCAAAAUAUUCAGGCUAUAGUUGGUGUUUUACAUCUUGCCACAGUUGCCCUUGUCAACUUCCAAGGGCAUGAAGCCAUGGCCCAAUGGGCU